CUGCAGCCAAUUAAGCCCGCCAUGCUCUUUUCCCCGAGGAGGCCGGCGUGCAGUGGCUGCAGACAGGAGCCCCCUCAGUAGUGCCCGCAGCCUGCUGCUUGUGUGGACUGCCCUAAGGGGCCCUGGAGACAGCC
rnacentral:snoRNA from 1 species